AUUAGGAGUUAAGGAUGAUUUAUUGAAGAAUGAAUGUGCUGACUUUGAAUUAACCUUUGAGAUUCUGCAGUAACUGAACCAUAAUGUGACCCACAGUGCAUCACUGUGCCUUGGGCCAUAAUGCUCCUUGAAGAGGUUCAUCCUGCUCUGUACCUGUCCUCUCUAACUGCAGGAGGCUGUGCUGUAUUCUUCUUUUUUUCAUCACAGCCCUCCAAUCACAGAAUUCUACACCGAGCUGGAGGGACUUGGAUAUGUAAAGCCCCAAGGACUUGGAUCUGUAAAAGAUGCAAGCACAUGCUGCGCUAGUCUCUUGGCGCCUGAAUUCCUCUGCAUGAGCAUAUGUACGUUGGAACGGAUGCGUAGCUCCAGCCCGCUGAGAGGUGAACUGCAUGCUGGGAUGGCUGAGAGAGUCUGUCUGCUCACGUAACUAUGGCAGCAGUGGCGGUGAAGGUAAGAGGUAAGGGUGCUGUCUCAUCAGAUGACCUCCAUUUGCCAAGGUGCAAAGCACAUAUGCCAGCCGUCGUCAUGGUAUCCAGCAGAAAACUUCCCCAGUCAGUUAACAGCCGGAGGGGAGGAA